rnacentral:lncRNA from 1 species
CCAGUUUUCACAGGCCUGUGUGCCGAGAGUGUUCCUUACCAUUUUUUCAUUAUUAUUCUGCUAAGGAGGAUUUUUAGACAUUAUGUUCCUAGUCAAGCCCUCACCUCUGCAAUGAAAUUAUAAUACCACUGUUGACCCAAAGAUGAGCAGCAAGCGCUAGAACUGAGGGAAAUCAUGGUGAGAUUUAUUCUGAGCCAAGCUGGAGGACUUAGGCCCAGGAACACAGAAUCUGUGUCCACUGAGAAUGUAUCUCAAAGCAGGCUCCAUGAGGCACCGUGCACUUACAUUUUCUAACAGGCGGACGUAUGUGGCCCAGAAGGUGGGAGAGGCAAGCGGUGAGCAGCCGUGACGUUCCUGAGAUUCUGAUGAGCGCUCGGUGGCACUGCCCACAUGAUAAGGGAGACAUGAGACAUCAAUCAACACAUGUAGGAUGAACAUUGGUUCGGUCUGGAAAGGCGGGACAACUCGAAGCAAAGGCAGGAAGACUCGAAGCAGACGGGGGCUUCCAGGUCAUAGGAAGUCAUGAGCGAAGAGACCGUGAGCCUCUCCCAAACCCCGCAUGUGCUGACAUCUCCACGUGUGCUGUGUCCUGGGUAGGCUUUCUUCAUAGACCGUGCUUCCGUCUGUCUGGAGUUUCCGCUUCAUCCAUCUGUCCACAGGGAGGACGCACACCCCUGAGUCCGAGGCCACACCACGCAUUCUGUAGAAACUCUCACUGCCCAGGGAGCACACUUUAUUAGGAAAGCUCCAGGUUCACAGAGGCUCUGGGCUCUCUCUGGGCCCGACGGUAGAACUCCAGGUCAGAUGUGUCUGAGUUUGCUUUCAAU